UGUAUGCCCAACUGCUAUGCAAGGAUAAUGAGUGUUGGUGAUGUGGAGAACCGUAUAGUUCUUAUUGCUAAAACCAAUGUCUCUGGAGGGGAUGAGCUAACGUAUGAUUACUUGUUUGAUCCAGAUGAGCAUGAUGAGUUGAAAGUCCCUUGUUUGUGUGGAGCUCCCAACUGUCGAAAGUUCAUGAAUUAAGUUGCACAUCUUGUAUCUUACUGUCCAUCAAAGCACCACAUCCAUCUUCUAACCCAAGAGGAAAUCUCUUUUUUUGAAAGAAACCAAUUUUAAUUAGAGGGAUUUUUUUUCCUUUCCCCCCAUUCUGAUAAUUCUGAAAGCCAUGUAAUUUUUAGGGUGCAAUCGAAUUUACAUUUUA
rnacentral:misc_RNA from 1 species